rnacentral:rRNA from 1 species
AGAGUUUGAUCAUGGCUCAGAUUGAACCGCUGGCGGCAGGNUUAACACAUGCAAGUCGAACGGUAACAGAACUAGCUUGCUAGUUGCUGACGAGUGGCGGACGGGUGAGUAACGCGUAGGAAUCUACCGAAUAGUGGGGGACAACAGUUGGAAACGGCUGCUAAUACCGCAUACGCCCUACGGGGGAAAGGAGGGGAUCUUCGGACCUUUCGCUAUUUGAUGAGCCUGCGUGAGAUUAGUUAGUUGGUGGGGUAAUGGCUCACCAAGGCGACGAUCUCUAGCUGGUCUGAGAGGAUGAUCAGCCACACUGGGACUGAGACACGGCCCAGACUCCUACGGGAGGCAGCAGUGGGGAAUAUUGCACAAUGGGGGAAACCCUGAUGCAGCCAUGCCGCGUGUGUGAAGAAGGCCUUCGGGUUGUAAAGCACUUUCAGUUGUGAGGAAAGGUUAAGGGUUA